GGCAUGGCUCAGUGGUUGAGCAUGGACUUAUGAUCCAAGAGACCACGGUUCAAUUCCUUGUCAGGUCA
rnacentral:tRNA from 1 species